GACGAACGCUGGCGGCGUGCUUAACACAUGCAAGUCGAACGGUGAAGCACCUUCCUUUUGGUGGGUGUGGAUGAGUGGCGAACGGGUGAGUAACACGUGAGUAACCUGCCCCCUUCUUCUGGAUAACCGCAUGAAAGUGUGGCUAAUACGGGAUAUUCUGUGCCUGCUGCAUGGUGGGUGUGGGAAAGAUGCGCCUUUGGGUGUUUUUGGUGGGGGAUGGGCUCGCGGCCUAUCAGCUUGUUGGUGGGGUGAUGGCCUACCAAGGCGGUGACGGGUAGCCGGCCUGAGAGGGUGGACGGUCACACUGGGACUGAGACACGGCCCAGACUCCUACGGGAGGCAGCAGUGGGGAAUAUUGCACAAUGGGCGCAAGCCUGAUGCAGCGACGCCGCGUGAGGGAUGGAGGCCUUCGGGUUGUAAACCUCUUUCGCCAGUGAAGCAGGCCUGCUCCUUGUGGGUGGGUUGACGGUAGCUGGAUAAGAAGCGCCGGCUAACUACGUGCCAGCAGCCGCGGUAAUACGUAGGGCGCGAGCGUUGUCCGGAAUUAUUGGGCGUAAAGAGCUCGUAGGCGGCUGGUCGCGUCUGUCGUGAAAUCCUCUGGCUUAACUGGGGGCUUGCGGUGGGUACGGGCCGGCUUGAGUGCGGUAGGGGAGACUGGAACUCCUGGUGUAGCGGUGGAAUGCGCAGAUAUCAGGAAGAACACCGGUGGCGAAGGCGGGUCUCUGGGCCGUUACUGACGCUGAGGAGCGAAAGCGUGGGGAGCGAACAGG
rnacentral:rRNA from 1 species